rnacentral:lncRNA from 1 species
CUGUCGAUGAUUCUAACUCUCUAAUCAGCCAUGAAUCAAGCCCCACGUCUCUAUUUCCUCCCAUACCACUUCACCUCUAACCCUACAUCAUCUCCGCUUCUCUCUCCAUAGUCAAGUUAAACCGCUCCCCUUGACCAAGGAAUCCCUUGUUUUGUUUUCCUUCUUCCCACGGUGUCGGAAAUUCGGAGGUAACUGAGAGGCUUGAACUCAUAUAUUAUUUUGUUUUGGGUUUUUUUACCUUCCUUGAUCAAGCUUUGAACAAUCUUUUUCUUGAAUCUAGAAGUUUUUGACGGUGAUGCUUUGACGGUGGCGAAAACUAUAUUCUAUCCUUUAGUCAUUCUUACCUGUUUAACAAAGGUAAGGGAUCCCUAAUUCACCCUCCCUUAUAAGUCGUUUGUUCCUGUAAACUUGUUGGAAGUCAUUCCACUAGAUCAUUAAUCUCCUUGAAUUCUAGGGACCAUAUUACAUCGACGGCACGUUCAUUCUUGAGCCCGAAUUCCGGAGCAACCCAAGUCGAUCUAUUAUCAUGCUUAGCCUCGGAAGCAGGUCAGGCAAUGGUUCCUAUUUUUUCUUUCCAAUUUUCCUUUGCCAAAAUUCUGGAAAUCCUUCAAGAUUAUUGGGGAAGAUGACCAGCGAAUGUCUGUGGCAACAUCUGGACUUUCAGUGAUUGCAUUUCAAUCACUGCACUUCCAAAAAUUAGAAUUAGUACCUCUUGUCUUUGUAAAUUUCUUGAUGUAAACAAACUAUUGAAAUCUGACAGUUCAGUAAUUAAGUUUUUUCCAGUAGCUAUCGCGUCCUUGAAAUUUCUAGUCG